UCUUGGCUGCCCGAUUCCCUGGGAGGUUUUUUGCCAUUAUGGGGAACGUUAAUUAAAGACAACGAGCAGAAUGUUACCUGCAUAGGUACAAGCUGGAAGGUAUCAAUGUAACAAGGUUUCCGUAGGUGAACCUGCGGAAGGAUCAUUAAAGAGUAAGGGUGCUCAGCGCCCGACCUCCAACCCUUUGUUGUUAAAACUACCUUGUUGCUUUGGCGGGACCGCUCGGUCUCGAGCCGCUGGGGAUUCGUCCCAGGCGAGCGCCCGCCAGAGUUAAACCAAACUCUUGUUAUUAAACCGGUCGUCUGAGUUAAAAUUUUGAAUAAAUCAAAACUUUCAACAACGGAUCUCUUGGUUCUCGCAUCGAUGAAGAACGCAGCGAAAUGCGAUAAGUAAUGUGAAUUGCAGAAUUCAGUGAAUCAUCGAAUCUUUGAACGCACAUUGCGCCCCUUGGUAUUCCGAGGGGCAUGCCUGUUCGAGCGUCAUUACACCACUCAAGCUAUGCUUGGUAUUGGGUGCCGUCCUUAGUUGGGCGCGCCUUAAAGACCUCGGCGAGGCCUCACCGGCUUUAGGCGUAGUAGAAUUUAUUCGAACGUCUGUCAAAGGAGAGGACUUCUGCCGACUCGACAACCUUAUAUUCUCUAGGUGACCUCGGAGCUCUAAGAAAGGUAUUUAAG
rnacentral:rRNA from 1 species